CUCCAGACUCCUACGGGAGGCAGCAGUGAGGAAUAUUGGUCAAUGGGCGGAAGCCUGAACCAGCCAAGUCGCGUGAGGGAAUAAGGCCCUACGGGUCGUAAACCUCUUUUGUCAGGGAACAAAGGCGGGGACGCGUCCCCGGAUGAGUGUACCUGAAGAAAAAGCAUCGGCUAACUCCGUGCCAGCAGCCGCGGUAAUACGGAGGAUGCGAGCGUUAUCCGGAUUUAUUGGGUUUAAAGGGUGCGCAGGCGGCCUGUUAAGUCAGCGGUCAAAGCCCGGGGCUCAACCCCGGUCCGCCGUUGAAACUGGCAGUCUCGAGUUGGAGAGAAGUAUGCGGAAUGCGCGGUGUAGCGGUGAAAUGCAUAGAUAUCGCGCAGAACUCCGAUUGCGAAGGCAGCAUGCCGGCUCCACACUGACGCUGAGGCACGAAAGCGUGGGUAUCGAACAGGAUUAGAUACCCGCGUA
rnacentral:rRNA from 1 species